UUAAUACGCUGCUGGAUGUCGCAAAGAAGAGCGCAUAUAUAAACCGUGGCACAACGCUCGUCCCGUCUCUCUUUUCCUCAGCGAACUUUAGUGUGGUCAGGAUGUUGUGGUUUAACAUGUGCAGUUCUUCAGAAAGUCGCUUUGUGUUUGUAAGCGUAUUCUUCAGUCUAAAUAAAGUUGGGAGUUCGGAAACACGUGGCCAUGGAUGAUGUUCGCCAUAGGCUUUUGAACGGGAAGAACUUUCGCGUUUAAUGCAUCGAUUCUAAAUCGCGAUGAAUGCGAUCAAUGGAUUGCGCUUUCACUGACGGUUCAAAUGUUGGAGUUCCUGACUGCAAAAAUGUGGUUUUGUGAGCGACUGUUGGAGUUCCUGACUGCAAAAAAAGUGGAUUUGUGAGAUGUGAGGACCAAGAAAUCAAUCCGGUGGCGUACAGUUUGGAAUACAAUAUCCUGUUUAUGCAUGGAUGUCACUGUGCAAAAGAAUGCACUUUUGAAACAUGAAUGUUUUAUGCACUUCUAAUUCUGUUUGUAUUGUUGCAAUAAAAGUGAACAAAAGCCUUGA